CAAAAACAUCGCCUCUUGCAAAACUGAGAAAUAAGAGGUCCCGCCUGCCCUGUGACUAUAUGUUUAACGGCCGCGGUAUUUUGACCGUGCGAAGGUAGCGCAAUCACUUGUCUUUUAAAUGGAGACCUGUAUGAAUGGCAUAACGAGGGCUUAGCUGUCUCCUUUUUCAAGUCAAUGAAAUUGAUCUCCCCGUGCAGAAGCGGGGAUAACACCAUAAGACGAGAAGACCCUAUGGAGCUUUAGACACCAAGGCAGAUCAUGUUAAACACCCCUUCACAAAGGACCAAACCAGAUGAACCCUGCCCUAAUGUCUUUGGUUGGGGCGACCGCGGGGAAACAAAAAACCCCCACGUGGAAUGGGAAUACCCCCUCCUACAACUAAGAGCUCCCGCUCUAAUGACCAGAAUUUCUGACCAAUCAGAUCCGGCAACGCCGAUCAACGGACCGAGUUACCCUAGGGAUAACAGCGCAAUCCCCUUUUAGAGCCCAUAUCGACAAGGGGGUUUACGACCUCGAUGUUGGAUCAGGACAUCCUAAUGGUGCAGCCGCUAUUAAGGGUUCGUUUGUUCAACGAUUAAAGUCCUACGUGAUCUGAUUUCAGACCGG
rnacentral:rRNA from 1 species